rnacentral:lncRNA from 10 species
UGUCAAGGCAGGAGCAGGCUGAGGUAACUGGAUCAUGGGGGCAGUUUCCCCCAUGCUGUUUUCGUGAUAUCCAGUGUGUCUCAUAAGAUCUGAUGGGUUUAAAAGCCUCUGGCAUCCCUGUUUGUACUCACUCUGCCCUGCCGCCCUGUGAAGAAGGUGCCUGCUUCUCCUUUGCCUUCUGACAUUAUUCUGAGUUUGCUGAAGCUUCCCCAACAAUUUGGAACUAAAACAUAACUGGAUUGUGAUAGGAAUUGCAAUAAAUCUGUGGAUCAUUUUGGAAGGUUCACUGGAAACAACUUCUAAGAAGAUGCUUAGCAUACAAGAAGAUUUUUAGGGGCUGCUGUCUGGAACAAAAGCCAUUAAAGGAUAAGCAAAGCAAGAUUGGACAGAGGAAGAAGUUAAGCUGAAAUACAUUGUACACAGAGGGUCAGCCCAUCCCUCUGGCAGCUCUGAAGCUGACCUUCAAAGCUGUCUCACAUGGAAGCAAAGAGUCUAAGAUUUUUACUCCCUCAACACCCACUCAGUGGACCUGGCUGUCCCAGGGAGUGAAACAUUUCCUUGAAUGAAGCAGCUCCCUUUUGCCAAGGGAAACCCGGGGAGGUCACUGUGCUGCGAACACUCAGGGUGGCCCUCCCAGAAAUUGAGAAAAACGGGUGCCUCCACCCUCCCAGCAACUGAGAAAGCAGAUGCCCCCACCGCAAAGGGUGCAUUGGGGGCUGCAUUCACUACAAUUUUUCAAAAUAAAAUGGAUAAACUGAGGGAAAAUAUUUGAUACACAUAUACUUAAUAUAACUAAUUACAUUAAGACAUGGUGGAAGAAAUAUGAAAAAAUGUAAAGUGUAAAAACAAAGAAAAUUAAAAAAUAUAAAAUUGUAUUAAAUAGAAUAAUAAAAUAUAUCUUUUUUUCAUGUAUCUUAUAUAACCGUUGAAAAAUUCAUUCAUAGGCAACGUUAGCACACAUGUUGCACGUUUGGUAAUUUUGAUAAAAUUAACUACUAUCUCUAGUAAUAAGCAUACAGAAUAUUUUAUUUUCUCCAUCUUAGAUUGUCAUAGAUUUAUUUUGACUUUUGACCAAAAUUUGAAAAACAAAUAGCUGUUCAUGACUUAAAGUGAUGAAACUUUCUUUAAUUCUAUAUAUCUUUAAUGAAUGUAUAAGUUCUGUAUUAUUCAAUAAAAUUUUGU